AGUGAAGUGGGAUGAGCUCAGCACCGAAGCCGGCGGUCGAGAGGCCGUCGUGCAAUGUGGUGUUCGGGAGGGCUCUGUCCGUGUCCGGCUUUGGUCCAAGUCUCCUGGAAAGGAGUUCCAUGGAGGGUGACAGGCCCGUGCGACCAACAGCCGCGUUCGCGGACGAGUCCUCUUUCGAGUCGGGUUGUUCGCUAAUGCAGCCCUAAGCAGGUGGUAAGCUCCAUCUAAAGCUAAAUAUGACCACGAGUCCGAUAGUCGACAAGUACAGUGAUGGAAAGUUGAAAAGUACUCUGAAGAGAGAGUCAAAUAGCCCGUGAAGCUGCCAGUAUGGGAUUAAGCGCACGUGUGACGCGUGUCGUUGGACAGAUAGGCGACCGUCGUUAAAAACGGAACGCUUCCCUCUGUUCGGCAUCGACAGGUCGGGGCUUCGUUGUUCGGUCUUGUUAUGCCGACAGUUAUCCGCACAGCCGUGCUGGGCGGUCGCCGUUCUCGGACGGUGGCCGUGCUCUGUUGAAUGUGGCUCCUCGCGAGCGCAACGGCCGGCUUGGUGUGCGGUGCAAUGCUGUYGUGAUACGACUGUGCGACGGCCAGCGCCACCGAGAAUGAUCUCGGCUCGGCCUUUGCGUCGUCACGUGCGGCCCGUCUUGAAACACGGACCAAGGAGUCUAACAUGUGAGCGAGCGAUUGAGAUUGACAAAUCUCAAACGCACAAUGAAAGUGAAGUGUCGUCUGACGGCACGAGCGGCGAUCCGUUUAUCGGCGCAGCCGCGGGCCGCGCCAUGGGCUGGCUUGCUCUCUCUCUGAGAGCACUGCUCAGGCGCGGACCUAGAGCCCACACGUUGGGACCCGAAAGAUGGUGAACUAUGCCUGGCCAGGAUGAAGCCAGAGGAAACUCUGGUGGAGGUCCGCCGCGAUUCUGACGUGCAAAUCGAUCGUCUGAGCUGGGUAUAGGGGCGAAAGACCAAUCGAACCAUCUAGUAGCUGGUUCCGCCCGAAGUUUCCCUCAGGAUAGCUGGCGCUUGUUUGAUACGGAGUUUCAUCCGGUAAAGCGAAUGAUCAGAGGAGCUGGGCUCCUUGCGAGCUCAACCUAUUCUCAAACUUUCAAUGGGUGAGACGUCUCGCUGGCUUCGAUGCAGCGACGACUCUGAAUCCGAGUGCCCAGUGGGCCACUUUUGGUAAGCAGAACUGGCGAUGCGGGAUGAACCGCAUAUCGAGUUAAGGUGCCUAAGCGGACGCAAAUCAGACACCAUGAAAGGUGUUGAUUGCUCACGACAGCAGGACGGUGGCCAUGGAAGUCGGCAUCCGCUAAGGAGUGUGUAACAACUCACCUGCCGAAGCAAUCAGCCCUGAAAAUGGAUGGCGCUAAAGCGUUCCACCGAUACUCGAUCGUCGUCGGCACGCGAUCGCCAGCCGAUCUCAAGCCACGACGAGUAGGGCGGCGCGGCGGUGAGCUUUGAAGGCGUAACCGUGAGGUUAGCUGGAGCCGCCGUCGGUGCAGAUCUUGGUGGUAGUAGCAAAUACACAAGCAAGAUCCUUGUGGACCGAUGUGGAGAAGGGUUCCGCGCGAACAGUAUUUGGACGUGGGUGAGUCGGCCCUAAGCCAACGGGUAAUUACCGCAUCCCAAUAUAUAUAUGUGAAAUAUAAUGGGUUGAU
rnacentral:rRNA from 1 species